AGGCAUGGACUGUGAGAUGGGACUGUGAGGUAUGUGACCAUGGGGUGUGGGCUGUGAGGUAUCAACCCUGAGUGUGAGGUGUGGACUGUGAGGUGUGACUGUGAGGUGUGGACUGUGAGGUGUGGACUGUGAGGUAUGACUGUGAGGUGUGGACCGUGAGGUGUGACUGUGAGGUGUGACCAUGAGGCAUGGACUGUGAGAUGGGACUGUGAGGUAUGUGACCAUGGGGUGUGGGCUGUGAGGUAUCAACCCUGACUGUGAGGUGUGACUGUGAGGUGUGGACUGUGAGGUGUGACUGUGAGGUGUGGACCGUGAGGUGUGACUGUGAGGUGUGACUGUGAGGUGUGGACCGUGAGGUGUGACUGUGAGGUGUGACUGUGAGGUGUGGACUGUGAGGUGUGACUGUGAGGUGUGGACUGUGAGGUGUGGACUGUGA
rnacentral:lncRNA from 1 species